GAGGAUGAGAACCUCCGGGGGCAAGAGGUUCGACUCGAGCGAAGCGAGAGAACGUUGCGUCAGCAACGGCCCGCAGGGCGAGGAUGAGAACCUC
rnacentral:sRNA from 1 species